UACGUAGGGGGCAAGCGUUGUCCGGAAUCAUUGGGCGUAAAGCGCGCGUAGGCGGCCCGGUAAGUCCGCUGUGAAAGUCAAAGGCUCAACCUUUGAAUGUCAGCGGAUACUGCCGGGCUAGAGUCCGGAAGAGGCGAGUGGAACUCCUGGUGUAGCGGUGGAAUGCGCAGAUAUCAGGAAGAACACCAACGGCGAAGGCAGCUCGCUGGGACGGAACUGACGCUGAGGCGCGAAAGCGUGGGGGAGCGAACAGG
rnacentral:rRNA from 1 species